rnacentral:rRNA from 1 species
UACGUAGGGGGCUAGCGUUGUCCGGAAUCAUUGGGCGUAAAGAGCGUGUAGGCGGUCCGGUAAGUCCGCUGUGAAAGUCGGGGGCUCAACCCUCGAAUGCCGGUGGAUACUGUCGGGCUAGAGUGCGGAAGAGGAGUGUGGAAUUCCUGGUGUAGCGGUGAAAUGCGCAGAUAUCAGGAAGAACACCUAUGGCGAAGGCAGCUCUCUGGGACGGUACUGACGCUGAGACGCGAAAGCGUGGGGAGCGAACAGG